UCCGUCAGUGUGCCAGGCACGUGCUUGUGUGUGGUCAGCGCGUGUGGUCGUGCCUUGGCCGGUGCGUGAGGGCAUGUGGGACGUCAGAAAAUUAUUCUAAAAAUUUGGAUAUGCUCAUGGUGUUGAGUAGGCCACGAUGGUAUAUUCAAACACCCCAAUUGAACAACGUAUGAGAAGUUAUUACACAGUUUUGGUUAUGUACUUAAAAUUAAUGUUAAAAUAGUGGUUUCACAUAUAGGUGAGACGUUUCCGGAGAACGAGCGCAGCCAGGUGAGACUCAGGGGUUACGAUCCAGCUACAUACCAGUGAGUGGGCUUUUGGUUUUCUAUAUAUACGUAUAUAUAUGCUUUGCAUUUUCCCAGAAAUUUGUUUUAAAUGGAUUUAAAUGCCAUGUCAAUUGCAUUAUGCUUUAAAGUAUGCAUUAGUAUAAUAAAUAUGCAUAUUGUUGCUUGAUACUGCGGAUGCCCAGGUAAGGUUCAGGUGAGUAUAUAUCAAUGAUAAUGGAUGCAUUGUUUGUGGUUUUACGUAGAUGCAUUUAAAGCUCAUUAUCAUGCACCCCGGUGCUAUUGCUCCUGCUCGUGGUCAGGGUACUGUCCUUCACGUGAUGUUCACCUCCCGCACAGUACGCUCACCUUGGAUCCAAGUUUGGUGCACAGCCCUGUUGUACAUACCACAUUAGGUGGUUCUGACUCGUAGGUGACCCGCAAUUAUUCGCAUAGCCUUCACGUGAUCGUAGCACUUGAGAGUACUUAUUUGCACCUAGUCUUGUCAUACAGACCACAAUAAGUGGUUCCGACUUGUGUGUAGACAUACUUGAUGAGCUAUAGGUUCGGCCGUAUAGGUCACGUUAGGUGACUCCGGCUAGCAUAUCAUUUCACAUUGAUUUAUUUCACUUGGCUUACUUAUUUCCAUGUUGAGACACUUGACAUGGUAUAUAUAUUUUUGAUUUUCACUACUCUCGAGUGUGAUUUUUAUAUACUUAUGUAUUAUUAUUUUCUAGGAAACUAUAUGGGUUUUACGGUGAGGGGUUAUUACUUUUGAAAAGAGAAAUGGUUUUGAAAAGCUUUGUUUUUGUCCACUCACAUUUUCUGUUUUGCGCCCCUCCAUGUUCUCGUUAGAAGUUCGUGUUGGUGGCUCAUGAGGACUCUACGGCGAUUCUGAUAGACAUCCAUCAAUGUAGGCUUUUCUUUCAUAUCCUGUAUAAUUAGUAUUUAGCCUGCUGGACUGCACUUUGGUACCUACACUCUAAUUAUGUGUAUCUACACUCUUAACACUUUCACUCAUACUUAUAUACUAGUCUAGUGUAAGUUAGUUAGUUUGAUUUUUUAUUAUCCCAUAUGAUCUUAUCACCUUCACUUUCGCACUGUGCACAUGGCUACGUCACCCUCACGUGACGGCCAGCAUGCCUCAAUUUAGGUCGGGGUGUGUUAAUAUUGACAAAGUUAUGACCUCUGUAAAUAGGCUUCGUGAGAACACGAAAUCUGAAAAUUCCAGAUUUCAUGAGGAAGAAGAUGAACAGUGGUUUGUUCUCUUCCACUCUUGGGCUAGGCGAGUACACUGGUACCGCUAGGUAUACGGGGAUAUUGUUUACACCAUUGAACUCGUCUCAGGCAGUCAAAUCUAAUAGGAUAUAGUUUAGACGUUUUUUAAUUUGCCGAAAUUAAAGAAACAUUUUUACUUUAUUAUAUUAAUUUUAAUUUUGUUUUAAAAUUAAACCACCAAUAUUAAAUAAUUAUCCACAUUAUGCCAUGAUUCUUGAAAUGUCAAAAUGAUUAUGUUGAUUAAAUUUGUUCAUGUUGAUUGAGCAUUUUAAAUU
rnacentral:lncRNA from 1 species